rnacentral:rRNA from 1 species
AGUGAACGCUGGCGGUAGGCCUAACACAUGCAAGUCGAACGGCAGCACAGUAAGAGCUUGCUCUUACGGGUGGCGAGUGGCGGACGGGUGAGGAAUACAUCGGAAUCUACUUUUUCGUGGGGGAUAACGUAGGGAAACUUACGCUAAUACCGCAUACGACCUACGGGUGAAAGCAGGGGAUCUUCGGACCUUGCGCGAUUGAAUGAGCCGAUGUCGGAUUAGCUAGUUGGCGGGGUAAAGGCCCACCAAGGCGACGAUCCGUAGCUGGUCUGAGAGGAUGAUCAGCCACACUGGAGCGGAGACACGGUCCAGACGCCUACGGGAGGCAGCAGUGGGGAAUAUUGGACAAUGGGCGCAAGCCUGAUCCAGCCAUACCGCGUGGGUGAAGAAGGCCUUCGGGUUGUAAAGCCCUUUUGUUGGGAAAGAAAAGCAGCAGGUUAAUACCCCGCUGUUCUGACGGUACCCAAAGAAUAAGCACCGGCUAACUUCGUG